AAGAAAUCAGUAACCACAUAUAUUAGAAAACGGUAAGUAAACACGGUAAACGGUAAACGAUAAACGGUAAACGGUAAACGGUGGUAAUUACGGUUAAUUGGUAGACAUAUGUCAUUUUAAUAGGCCGCCAUUGGCCGUUUUGCACUUUUACCACGUAAGAGUCGAGGAGAUUCACCCCAACGACGCAACCACAUUUAGAUUCACAGAUUCAUUAGUUAUGGUAGUUGAUUCACGAGUCGAGGGAUUCACCCAACGACGCAAC
rnacentral:lncRNA from 1 species